AUCAUCAUCAUCAUCAUCAUCAUCAUCAUCAUCAACACCAUCAUCACCAUCAUCAUUAUCAUUAUCAUCAUCACCAUCAUCACCAUCA